UACUAGAGUAGCACUCGCAUAUCAAUAAGCGGAGGAAAAGAAACUAACAAGGAUUCCCUUAGUAACGGCGAGUGAAGCGGGAAGAGCUCAAAUUUGAAAUCUUCAAGGUUUUACCUUGACGAAUUGUAGUUUAUAGAAGUGUUUUCUGUUAGUAGAGUUUGGUAAAAGUUCUUUGGAAUAGGACAUCAUAGAGGGUGAGAAUCCCGUAUUUGGAUCCAUUAUUUUCUAGCUGUGUGAUACACUUUCAACGAGUCGGAUUGUUUGGGAAUGCAGUCCAAAAUGGGUGGUAAAUUUCAUCUAAAGCUAAAUAUUGGCGAGAGACCGAUAGCGAACAAGUACCGUGAGGGAAAGAUGAAAAGAACUUUGAAAAGAGAGUUAAACAGUACGUGAAAUUGUCAAAAGGGAAGCGUUUGACACCAGUGUUGUUUUCUCGAAAAUCAAUUAAAAAAUGGCUGGGAUUUUGUGUUGUAUUGACCUUAAAAGCUUUCUUCACUCUUUUCUUGUCUUUUUUAAUGCACUUUUCGUUUAACAAGUCAACAUCAGUUUCUUUUGUUGUAAAAGGGUCAUUGGAAGGUGGCUUUCUUUUCGGAGAAAGUGUUUAUAGCCUUUGAUCUCUGCAACCGGAGAGACUGAGGUCUGCAGCGUAGACUCUUCGGGGUUAGAUACAUUUGUGCUAAGCUAUAGCUUUUUAUAGACAACUUGUUGACUAUAUUUAGUCUUGUGGCUUACUCGCUUAUGCUAUUUUACCUACGCUUAGGAUGUUGAAGAUGUAGCACAUCAU
rnacentral:rRNA from 1 species